rnacentral:rRNA from 1 species
CCUACGGGAGGCAGCAGUGAGGAAUAUUGGUCAAUGGGAGAGAUCCUGAACCAGCCAAGCCGCGUGAGGGAAGACGGCCCUAUGGGUUGUAAACCUCUUUUGUCGGAGAACAAAACCCGGGACGUGUCCCGGACUGCGUGUAUCCGAAGAAAAAGCAUAGGCUAACUCCGUGCCCCCAGCCGCGGUAAUACGGAGGAUGCGAGCGUUAUCCGGAUUUAUUGGGUUAAAAGGGUGCGUAGGCGGUCCGUUAAGUCAGCGGUAAACUUGCGGGGUUCAACCCCGUCGAGCCGUUGAAACUGGCAGACUUGAGUUGGCGAGAAGUACGCGGAAUGCGCGGUGUAGCGGUGAAAUGCAUAGAUAUCGCGCAGAACUCCGAUUGCGAAGGCAGCGUACCGGCGCCAGACUGACGCUGAGGCACGAAAGCGUGGGGAUCGAACAGGAUUAGAUACCCUUGUAGUC